UCAACAUCGCAUUACUAUUGGCAAUAUCCGGUUCUCUCUGUCGUGGGAGUUUGACGAAAGACGAAUUAUCAUGUAAAUUUCUGUUAGGAUUUGUAGUAAGGGACUAGAUUAUUGAGUAACGCUUUAAAAGAGUAAAAAGUGGCAUUAACUUUAAGUUAGUAAAUUUGUUUAUUUUAUUAAUGCUAUAAAGAUUGAAAUUUUCUUUCUUUUUGUGACAUAAACUUUUGGAAUAAAAUUUUCAUAUAGAACCAGAAAAUACAGAUACUAUUGAAAUAGGUUAAGGAAUGUUUUCACAGUUACUGAUAUUGGUAUUAUUAGACAGCGUUUUAGCAAAAUCACUAUCAUCGAACGGCAACGAGCACAUAGGAGUAGGUAGAUCUAAACGACAUUUAAGUGAAUUUAAAGUUGCAGAAUACAUGACACUAUUAGGAAACAGCUGUGCAUCAGUAAAUUGUGGUCUCUACAACAUAAUGCAAAGCGGGCGACGAAAAAGAAGGGCGCCUGUGGAUUUUGGAACAUAUCUGGCAUGUUGUGGAUAGGGAUUAAUUUCCUUUUAAGAUGCAACAUUAUAGAUUAUGUUGCUGCAACCCAACAAAGACAGUUGUUAAAGCGAUGUGUAAAUAUUUUGUACAGAUAGUUUCCUCUACGUUGGAUCUGGACAUCGUCAAAAGAAUCUCCACCUUAUUUUCAUGACAUUUCAUCAUCAGGGAAUAAAAAUUAAAUGAAUUAGGAACUAAAGGCUGCGUUGGAAUAAAUCGAAUUUUUUAUCGCUUAUUUAAUAUUUUUAACAUGUACUUUUACAAAUACACACAUUCCAAUGGUUAAAAGAUGAAACUUAGAUUGAAAUAAUAAUAGAGUCUGGACUACAUACUUUCAAUGUCUUCUGGUCAUAAAUAUAAAGCAUUUUAAUUACCCGUUAUUGUAGUGAUAUUAUGCACAUUCCUAAUAUACAUAAAAUUAAAAGCAUUCCAAGAAAUAUUUCUUUAAAAAAAAACAGCAAAUCAUCUAAAACUGGGUUCAGGGUCACCAUAAUUUGGCUAAAUAUCUUCAUUAGAAAUACGAUACCGUUUCUUUUCUCGAGUACAUUUUAUCCUUUCUUUUAACUUUCAGAGAAUAACGCUGUCAAAUAUUGAUGGCCAGAUCAUGUAUUACUGAAACUAAAACCAUGCAUAUCAUAGAGUUUGCUUGUUACUUAAGUAAAAACGUUUGACUUUUAGCCGUGCAAUUUUAUUUACUAACGCUUAUUGUAUCUAUUCGUUCAUUAUCAUACAUUUUAGUAGUGUGCUAUGUUAUAUCACUCCAUCAUUACCGAAUUUUUACAUAUCGCGUCUAGCCUUUUCAAGUAACAAAAAAUUUCACACAACAUCUAUAAAUCAAGAGUAGGUCACGCAAUAAAAGCUUACCAUCACUAAAUAAAGCUUACUUUAGCCAAGUCAAAGUUCAUCUGAAUGGACACUAUUAACUUUGGAUUCUGCAUAUAAUCUUGAAAUGACAAGUCCCUGUGUUUGAUUUCAUGAAAAAUAAAUCCUUUGCCGUCUUCUUGAUUUUUAUUUUUGAAUUAUUUAGUUAGCAUAUUUUAGAUACAUUUGUAACACUAUAACAAAAUGCAUUCAUUUAACACCAAAUUUAGAGAAAUAAAUCUAUAAAUUUCAAGUCAAAGGAAAUAUGGUUAAAGAUAUCAUGUUUUUUUCUAAACGUCUUAUCGCAAUUUGGCAACUUUACUGGACAUCAAAGGCGUUCCAGAAAAAAUUUGACUUUGAAAUUACCAAAAAAGUGAUUACUGUAUGACGCCAUUUGUUUCGCAAAAUCUCGGAUCAACUAUCGUCAAUAGUGAUGAGAUCUUUUGAAAUUUUAAGGUUCAAGGUAGUAUUAGAACUCGUAUUAUAAUUUCUUAUAUAAAAUGUCUUUACCACUGCACUGUAUAUGAUACAGCAUGGUGAUAUUAUUGAAAUAAAGCUGUGUCUGUA